AGACUGCGGGUGCUAACGUCCGUAGUCAAGAGGAAAACAAUCCAGACCGCCAGCUAAGGCCCCAAAAUCAUAGUUAAGUGGGAAACGAUGUGGGAAGGCAUAGACAGCUAGGAGGUUGGCUUAGAAGCAGCCACCCUUUAAAGAAAGCGUAAUAGCUCACUAGUCGAGUCGGCCUGCGCGGAAGAUGUAACGGGGCUAAAACUAUGUGCCGAAGCUGCGGAUGUAACUUUAAGUUACGUGGUAGGGGAGCGUUCUGUAAGCCGAUGAAGGUGGAUUGAGAAGUCUGCUGGAGGUAUCAGAAGUGCGAAUGCUGACGUGAGUAACGACAAAACGGGUGAAAAACCCGUUCGCCGAAAGACCAAGGGUUCCAGUCCAACGUUAAUCGGGGCUGGGUGAGUCGACCCCUAAGGCGAGGCCGAAAGGCGUAGUCGAUGGGAAAUUGGUUAAUAUUCCAAUACUUCUGUGUAAUGCGAUGAGAGGACGGAGAAGGUUAGGUCAGCCUGGCGUUGGUUGUCCAGGUGGAAGACAGUAGGCAUGCAUCUUAGGCAAAUCCGGGGUGCUCUAUGCUGAGAGUCGAUAGCAAGCUAGUUUACUAGCGAAGUGGCUGAUACCAUACUUCCAAGAAAAGUCUCUAAGCUUCAGUUACACAGGAAUCGUACCCGAAACCGACACAGGUGGUCAGGUCGAGUAGACCAAGGCGCUUGAGAGAACUCUGCUGAAGGAACUAGGCAAAAUGGUACCGUAACUUCGGGAGAAGGUACGCUGUUGAUGGUGAUGGGACUUGCUCCCUGAGCGAUUGACAGCCGCAGAAACCAGGCCGCUGCAACUGUUUAUUAAAAACAUAGCACUCUGCAAACACGAAAGUGGACGUAUAGGGUGUGAUGCCUGCCCGGUGCUGGAAGGUUAAUUGAUGGGGUUAGCGUAAGCGAAGCUCUUGAUCGAAGCCCCAGUAAACGGCGGCCGUAACUAUAACGGUCCUAAGGUAGCGAAAUUCCUUGUCGGGUAAGUUCCGACCUGCACGAAUGGCAUAAUGAUGGCGGCGCUGUCUCCAGCAGAGGCUCAGUGAAAUCGAAAUCGCUGUGAAGAUGCAGUGUACCCGCGGCUAGACGGAAAGACCCCGUGAACCUUUACUGCAGCUUGACAUUGAACUUUGACCUUACUUGUGUAGGAUAGGUGGGAGGCUUUGAAGAUGGGACGCCAGUUCCAUUGGAGCCAUCCUUGAAAUACCACCCUGGUAAUGUUGAGGUUCUAACUCUGCCCCGUAAUCCGGGGCGAGGACCAUGUCUGGUGGGUAGUUUGACUGGGGCGGUCUCCUCCUAAAGAGUAACGGAGGAGUACGAAGGUGCGCUCAGCGUGGUCGGAAAUCACGCGUAGAGUAUAAAGGCAAAAGCGCGCUUAACUGCGAGACCCACAAGUCGAGCAGGUACGAAAGUAGGUCUUAGUGAUCCGGUGGUUCUGUAUGGAAGGGCCAUCGCUCAACGGAUAAAAGGUACUCUGGGGAUAACAGGCUGAUACCGCCCAAGAGUUCAUAUCGACGGCGGUGUUUGGCACCUCGAUGUCGGCUCAUCUCAUCCUGGGGCUGAAGCAGGUCCCAAGGGUAUGGCUGUUCGCCAUUUAAAGAGGUACGCGAGCUGGGUUUAGAACGUCGUGAGACAGUUCGGUCCCUAUCUACCGUGGGCGCUGGAAAUUUGAGAGGAUCUGCUCCUAGUACGAGAGGACCAGAGUGGACGAACCUCUGGUGUACCGGUUGUGACGCCAGUCGCAUCGCCGGGUAGCUAUGUUCGGAAGGGAUAACCGCUGAAAGCAUCUAAGCGGGAAGCCUACCUCAAGAUAAGAUUUCCCUAGGAAUUUAUUCCUCUAAAGAGCCGUUCAAGACUAGGACGUUGAUAGGUUGGAUGUGGAAGCAUAGUGAUAUGUGAAGCUGACCAAUACUAAUUGCUCGUGAGGCUUGACUAUACAACACCCAAACAGUUG
rnacentral:rRNA from 1 species